rnacentral:rRNA from 1 species
UGGGGGAUAUUGCACAAUGGGGGAAACCCUGAUGCAGCGACGCCGCGUGAGGGAAGAAGGUUUUCGGAUUGUAAACCUCUGUCCUUGGUGACGAUAAUGACGGUAGCCAAGGAGGAAGCUCCGGCUAACUACGUGCCAGCAGCCGCGGUAAUACGUAGGGAGCAAGCGUUGUCCGGAAUUACUGGGUGUAAAGGGAGCGUAGGCGGGAAGGUAAGUUGAAUGUUUAAACUAUCGGCUCAACCGGUAGUCGCGUUCAAAACUGCUUUUCUUGAGUGAAGUAGAGGCAGGCGGAAUUCCUAGUGUAGCGGUGAAAUGCGUAGAUAUUAGGAGGAACACCAGUGGCGAAGGCGGCCUGCUGGGCUUUAACUGACGCUGAGGCUCGAAAGCGUGGGUAGCAAACAGG